UACGUAGGGUGUAAGCGUUGUCCGGAAUUAUUGGGCGUAAAGAGCGUGUAGGCGGCCCGACCAGUCCGCUGUGAAAGUCCAGGGCUCAACCCUGGAAUGCCGGUGGAAACUGUCGAGCUAGAGUCCGGAAGAGGCGAGUGGAAUUCCUGGUGUAGCGGUGAAAUGCGCAGAUAUCAGGAGGAACACCAAUGGCGAAGGCAGCUCGCUGGGACGGUACUGACGCUGAGACGCGAAAGCGUGGGGGAGCAAACAGG
rnacentral:rRNA from 1 species